rnacentral:rRNA from 1 species
UGGGGAAUAUUGCACAAUGGACGAAAGUCUGACGGAGCAACGCCGCGUGAGUGAAGACGGCCUUCGGGUUGUAAAGCUCUGUGAUCCGGGACGAAAGAGCCUGAGGUGAAUAGCCUAAGGAAGUGACGGUACCGGAAAAGCAAGCCACGGCUAACUACGUGCCAGCAGCCGCGGUAAUACGUAGGUGGCAAGCGUUGUCCGGAAUUAUUGGGCGUAAAGCGCGCGCAGGCGGCUUCCUAAGUCCAUCUUAAAAGUGCGGGGCUUAACCCCGUGAUGGGAUGGAAACUGGGAAGCUGGAGUAUCGGAGAGGAAAGUGGAAUUCCUAGUGUAGCGGUGAAAUGCGUAGAGAUUAGGAAGAACACCGGUGGCGAAGGCGACUUUCUGGACGAAAACUGACGCUGAGGCGCGAAAGCGUGGGGAGCAAACAGG